GACGAACGCUGGCGGCGUGCUUAACACAUGCAAGUCGAACGGAAAGGCCCUGCUUUUGUGGGGUGCUCGAGUGGCGAACGGGUGAGUAACACGUGAGUAACCUGCCCUUGACUUUGGGAUAACUUCAGGAAACUGGGGCUAAUACCGGAUAGGAGCUCCUGCUGCAUGGUGGGGGUUGGAAAGUUUCGGCGGUUGGGGAUGGACUCGCGGCUUAUCAGCUUGUUGGUGGGGUAGUGGCUUACCAAGGCUUUGACGGGUAGCCGGCCUGAGAGGGUGACCGGCCACAUGGGGACUGAGAUACGGCCCAGACUCCUACGGGAGGCAGCAGUGGGGAAUAUUGCACAAGGGGCGGAAGCCUGAUGCAGCAACGCCGCGUGCGGGAUGACGGCCUUCGGGUGGUAAACCGCUUUCGCCUGUGACGAAGCGUGAGUGACGGUAAUGGGUAAAGAAGCACCGGCUAACUACGU
rnacentral:rRNA from 1 species